rnacentral:rRNA from 1 species
UACAGAGGGGGCAAGCGUUGUUCGGAAUUACUGGGCGUAAAGGGCGCGUAGGCGGCCUUCUAAGUCGAACGUGAAAUCCCCGGGCUCAACCCGGGAACUGCGUCCGAUACUGGAAGGCUUGAAUCCGGGAGAGGGAUGCGGAAUUCCAGGUGUAGCGGUGAAAUGCGUAGAUAUCUGGAGGAACACCGGUGGCGAAGGCGGCAUCCUGGACCGGCAUUGACGCUGACGGCGCGAAAGCCAGGGGAGCAAAGCGGGAUUAAGAAACCC